UACAGAGGUCCCAAGCGUUGUUCGGAUUUACUGGGCGUAAAGGGCGCGUAGGCGGCGCGGUAAGUCACUUGUGAAAUCUCUGAGCUUAACUCAGAACGGCCAAGUGAUACUGCAGUGCUAGAGUGCAGAAGGGGCAAUCGGAAUUCUUGGUGUAGCGGUGAAAUGCGUAGAUAUCAAGAGGAACACCUGAGGUGAAGACGGGUUGCUAGGCUGACACUGACGCUGAGGCGCGAAAGCCAGGGGAGCAAACGGG
rnacentral:rRNA from 1 species